ensembl:lncRNA
CCAAUGCCACAUGCUCCUCAUGAAGUGCCUGGGAGGGAGUCAGGUGACACGAGUCGCAGCAGCGAAACAAUUUGAAUGUCCCCUGCUGGUGCCCGGGCAGGUACGGCAUGGUGCACCCGACCCGCAGGGCGCGGGGCUAGAACUCAAAAGUGGGCGAGUGAGGCUUGGCACCGUGUGCUGAGGAUGGCCAGGGUCUGCAGGGCCCCUCCCUCGGGGAACGUCCAGGGCGUCCUGGAGCAGCGGUAGUGACGGGCCGGAAGCGGGUGAACUACAGGGUUCUUACGUCUCAUGAAAGCCUUGUACAGACAGGCAGGGAGGGAGGAGACCGUGGGCCUACCUUGUUGUCUGCUCCAGCCAGGGCUUGGACCUCCACGGUCUCAGGUCCUCCUCGUGGGAAGCGGGCAGCGCUGCCCUCAUGCAGCUGCACCAUGGCAGAGAGAAAAGCUUCCCAGAUGGACCCCGAGCCUGCACAAAGCCUGGACGAUCCCACCGCUUCUGCUCUGCACUGUCCGAGCUGCUGACCAAGCCUGAGCCCCACUCCACUCCUCCCUCCCGCCCGGCACCUGGAGCUGGGUCUGGCAAACUGCAGUCACUUUUGAACCGCGGAGAUGGAUGGAAUGUGUGGAGGUCAAGGGUGCAAUCUGGGGCUUGAUAAAUAACCACACUCCCCAUCCGACCAGAGCUUCCCGUCCCCCACGAAGCCCCGUCCCUGUGCUGUCAUCCCCACUGCACAGGCACCCGGCUCUGAUUUCUUGGGUCUUUCUUCAGCACUGGGGAUUGAACCCAGGGAGGGCUCAGCUACAUCUCCAGCCCUUUUUAUUUCUGAUUUUGAGACAAAGUCUGUAAGCUGUUCAGGCUGACCUUGGCCUUGCUAUCUCCCUGCCUCAGCCUCUUGAGUAGCUGGGACUAUAAUCACAUGCCGAGACACCACCCCUUGGACUGUGAUUUCUAUCUCCACGAAGUAGUGCCUUUCUCGAACUGCACAUGAAAGGACUCGUGUUUCCCAUCGGGCUUCCUCCAUUCAAACUUCUCUUGAGAUUUUCCAUGUUGCAUUUAUGAGCUGCUCCUUCUUUUUGCUUGCUGUGUAGUACUCCAGUGCGUGAACAUGCCACAACCGAUGAAUGUAUACAUUCUCCUGUUGAACGGCACUCGGGUUGCUUCCCAUUUGUAGCACUUGUGAAUAUAGAUAAUAUAAACAUUCUUGUACAAUUCUUUUUAAACUUUUUUCAUUAGUCCAUGUUUGCGGCACAUAAUGAUUGCAUUCAUCACAGGAGACGGCUGGUUCACAGACAUAACACAUCUGCUGAGGGUAUUUCUGAGACAAGAUUUUCCCAAGCAGUCCAGGCUGGCCGUGAACUCCCUGAGUGGCCCAGGAUGAACUCCAGAUCCUCCUGCCUCAGCCUCCCCAGUGCCAGGACAGCAGGCAUGUGCCACCCCCUGCUGCUCAUGUGCAGUAUCAUUCUGGGGGGACAAUGGGGCAUGGGGGUGCUGGGGGUCUCUGUCUC